rnacentral:rRNA from 1 species
GACGAACGCUGGCGGCGUGCUUAACACAUGCAAGUCGAACGGAAAGGCCCUGCUUUUGUGGGGUGCUCGAGUGGCGAACGGGUGAGUAACACGUGAGUAACCUGCCCUUGUCUUUCGGAUAACUUCAGGGAACUGGGGCUAAUACCGGAUAGGAUCUCCUGCUGCGUGGUGGGGGUUGGAAAGUUUCGGCGGUUGUGGAUGGACUCGCGGCUUAUCAGCUUCUUGGUGGGGUAGUGGCUUACCAAGCCUUUGACGGGUAGCCGGCCUGAGAGGGUGACCGGCCACAAUGGGACUGAGAGACGGCCCAGACGCCUACGGGAGGCAGCAGGGGGGAAUAUUGCACAAUGAGCGGAAGCCAGAUGCAGCAACGCCGCGUGCGGGAUGACGGCCUUCGGGUUGUGAACCGCUUUCGCCUGUGACGAGGCGUGAGUGACGGUAAUGAGUAAAGAAGCACCGGCUAACUACGUG